GGCCCGGUGGUGUAGUUGGAAACAUGUCCUCUUUGUGUGGCACAUUAUCUUCUGGGUAUGAGGAAGUCCCUUGUUCGAGUCAAGGUCUGGCUG